CUUGACUAACACCUUGCACUAAUCCAUCCAUGUGUUCCCAAAAUUGGGGUGCGUAAGCACUAAUUAUAUUGACAACCUCUUUCUCCAACACAAGCUUUAUGGAUAUAAUUCUAUCUCUGAAUCUUUUAACAUCCACCGCAUCAUUCUUUAAAUCUCUAUCUACUACUAUGCCC